rnacentral:lncRNA from 1 species
UUUUUUUUCUAUGUUUGAUUGUUUGAUUCGAUUGAAUCCCAGAAUCCGAAAAUGCUUAGCUAUGGAGAAACCAAGAGGUAUGCUUCAAAUCAUCAGCGUAACGCUGAUUGGAACACAAAUCACACCCGAUGUAACAUGAAGGUUUCAAGCCCUUAUAGACAACAUUUCUCACAUUCGUAAAUGACCAAUUAGAUGACCAGAUUCUCAAUCGAAAUCCCAAAGCAGGACAUUCGUUCUUUCUCUUGUUCUUGAUGGCAUUGUAAUGGAAUAACUAACCUAUUUCUUCGCCUUUUCGCCAACAGAUCUGAAUUAUCUUGAAAAAAAUAGAGGGAUAGAUAAAAUUCCAAGGGCGUUGGAUGGCGUUUCUCAACAUCUCUCGCGUGCAAAUGCAAACAGGAAAAGUUACAGCAGGUGACAAAUAAGACUGCAAGGCAAAAGGCAAAGAUAGCAGGUGACAAUUAGAUGAUCAGAAGAUGACAUUACAGCAGGUGACAAAUAAGACUGCAAGGCAAAAGGCAAACAUAGACAGCAGGUGGCAAUUAGAUGAUCAGAAGAUGACAUCGUUCGCUAUUAGACACAUAUAUGAUAUAAUCAUUUUCCAAAAAAGAGAUAUAAUCAUGAUAUUUAGCUCCUUCAGAAGGCACUAGCUGAUGAACAUUCAGAAUGCAAAAACUGGAAAGGUGAACAACCAAAAUGAUUUUCUAGGCUCCAUAUACAGUAGUUCUAGUCAAUGUCCAGAUUCCAAAUAGAUGUUUGUUCACUCACACAGGUUCCACACAUCACAUGGUUACAUCCAUUUACCUAGUUUAGAGUGUUCUAGAUAUGGUGAUGGCUGCAUGUCAUGAUUUCUGUUAUGGCUAUUCAAUAUCUUCAGUCACACCGAACACAAAUUUCUGCAGUCCACAAAGGUCCCCAAAAUUGAGCGUGAUUUUGGCAAAGAGGGAAUAUACAACAUCAGAAGAAAAUACAGCAAUACAAAAGGAGCUAAAAAGAAGGGGGAAAUGCCAAAUGGUAGGCAACUGAUCUACUACUAACACAAGAUAAACCUGAUGAACCGGUGACAAGUCUGUCAACAAGUCAUAUGGCACUGGCUGUUUGAACAAAUCAUGCAGCUGCUGCGACAGCAAACUGGUCCUGGACGUUGCAACGCUCCGCAUGGUUUAUAGGUGCUGCCAACAAUAGUUUUUGGUAGGUAUUGCUGAUGCCAUGGCAGCAGUGCCAGCAUCUCGCCCUGUGCUUUUGUGG